rnacentral:tRNA from 1 species
GCCGGGGUGGUGGAAUUGGUAGACACGACGGACUUAAAAUCCGUUGGGCUUAAACGCCCGUGCCGGUUCAAGUCCGGCCCUCGGUACCA